rnacentral:rRNA from 1 species
UACGUAGGGUGCAAGCGUUAAUCGGAAUUACUGGGCGUAAAGCGUGCGUAGACGGUUUCGUAAGUCGGGUGUGAAAUCCCCGGGCUCAACCUGGGAAUUGCAUUCGAAACUGCGAGGCUAGGGUACGGAAGAGGGAAGCGGAAUUUCUGGUGUAGCGGUGAAAUGCGUAGAUAUCAGAAGGAACAUCAGUGGCGAAAGCGGCUUCCUGGUCCAGUACAGACGUUCAGGCACGAAAGCGUGGGGAGCAAACAGG